UCUCUUUUCACCAUCUCAUCUUCAUCAAAAGUAUUAAACAAUUAUAACAACAACAUAUUUUUUAGGGCUUUUAUAUUUGCAAAACAUUUUCUUAUGAAAUGAUUCCUACCUUCGAGUAACUCAAAGGUAAUUAUAAUUCAAAACAAAGUUAAAGUAAAUACUUAUUAGUGAAGAGUAUGAUAUUUAAUAAGGUAACUAGGUAGUGCAGUGAUUAGAGUGCAGGGCCUAGAAUCAGGAGGAGUUAUCUUCUUGAGUUCAAAUCUGACCUCAGUUUGCUCAUCUGUAAAAUGCACUGGAGAAGUAAAUGAAGAAGGAAACCACUCCAGUAUUUUUGUCAAGAAAACUUUAAAUGGAGAAACAAAGAGUUGGAUAUAUCUGAAAACAACUGAACAAGAACAAUAAUAGUUAAUAGUUAAUAAAUGAUAUGAACAAUUGAAAAUGACUGCUUGGGUCAAAAUCUCCUCUCCCAAUUUUCUUGACCACUUGAUUGAGCAGUGGAUAGCAACAUCUUUUUAUAAAUUUGCUGAAUUCUACAAUUCAAGAAUUAUAUACAGUCAGGAUUUCAAGGGUUUGUACAUGUGGCAAAUCAGUUUCUUCCCCUUCUUUUCUCUUUUAUUUUGACCUACACUUUUGGUAUAGUACAAUCAUUCAAUAAAAUUUUGUUGAUUGUUGUUGAACUGCUCCAAGAUAUAUCUGACAAUCUUUUUAUAUAUUACUUUGAGUAUCUAAAACUGUGAUUUCUAGAGGUCAAAUAUGCUCUCUUUAAUUUUUUCUGCAUGAUUUGAUUCUGUGAGAUGUGUGUUCUUCAUAUAAUCUAAGCAGCAUGGUACAGUUGGGUUUUUGUUGUUUUAUUGAUGUCCCUUUUGUUUUUUAAAUGUCAUAAGUCACCAUAUCCCCUCACAUAAGCUUUUGUCAUUGGAAAGUAAAAGUUAAGCAAGAUUAAGUGAUGCAUUGAGUGAAUGCUAGCAUAUACAGGUAUGAAUUGCUCUAGCCAUUCUGAAAAGCAAUUUGGAAUUUUCUCUAGAAAAGUUACUAAACUGCAUAUGCUUUGAUCUAACUAUAUACCAAAGUAUCAAAGAAAGAGGAAAAGGAUCCAUAAAUAAAAAAAUUCAGUUCUUUUCAUGGUAGUUAAAAUUAGAAGUAAAAGGGGAGACUUCCUAUAGUAGAAUGUAUAUUUUGUGACAAAUGAAUGCAGUGGAAUAUUAUUAACCAUAAAUGAGGAACUAUAAUGUCAAAGGAAAUUGAGAAGAGCUUUUUGAAUUGAUGGAGAGUUAAAUAAGGAGAAAUGGGAGAACAAUUUAUGAAAUGACAAUAUAAUACAAGAAAACAACUUUUAAAAACUUUAGAUCUCUAAUCAAUGCAAUAAUAAAUCAUAAUUCUAAUAGAAUGAUCACUUAUCUCACCACAUCUUCUGGCAGAGUGAAAAAAUAGAAAAAGAGACAUACCGUUUUAGAUAUGAUUGAUAUGGAAAAUUGUUUUGCUGGAUGAUGGAGUUCUAUAUAGAAAUCUCUGUUAUUUGUAUUUCUUUUUUGUUUCUGUUUUUAAUUUACUGAAUGGAAGGAGAAAUAGUGUGAGAGAUGGAUGAAUAAAAAGGUUUGCUACUUGAAAAGUAAAAAACAAAAAUGAUUUAAACAUUUUUUUCCACCUGAAAUACUUCAACUUCAUGAUUGAUAAGAAUGAAUAAAAUAGAACUAAAAUCCUCACAUUGUACUUUGCUCCUCUCCCAGCACAUAAUUCUGAGAAACUGAACUUGCAAAAGUCAAAUCCUGGCUGGUGAAUUGUGUGACUUAUAGAUUUCUCUAUAAAAAGUCGAGUGUCAGGUGAUGAGCUUGUUCUGUUGAUUGCAUAAUGAUGUAUAGAAUACUUUCUGGAAAUCAAGCUUAUCCGUGAAUAAAAUUACUAACAUCCUGGAACAGAGAGCUGCCAUUGGCUAUGCAAUGUGGUAAUAGAGUUAAGACUCACUCAGGUGAGGACUGGAUUACUCAAUCAACAGACAUUUAACUGCCCAUUCUACACCAGAUAAUAUGUUAGGCACUAAUGAAUUCACCUGACUUCUCCAUAGAUAAGUGCAUAUCUUUCUAGUUUUUACUAAUACCUUCAGUGAGAAUACAUGUGUGUGAGAUGGAAAUCUAAAUGUAGUGCAGUGAGAGGGAAGAGAAGAGGAGAGAACUAAAAUAAAGCACCACUGGUGGCAAGUAUAAUAUUUAAUAGUUAAAUGAUAUGAACAAUUGAAAAUAUGCACUUUAGCCAAAUUUAUCUUUUCUGCCAAAUUUCCUGACCACUUGAUUUUACUCCACCAAUUACAAUUUAAAUGGAAGUGAUUCAGUUUCCUGGGAUGGCACUGGUAUACUGUCCAGGUUUCACAGACACCCAACAAUGAGAUCAGCACAGAUGGCUUUGUAGACCUUCCAUUUUGUAGUCAGUCUAAUACUCUCUCCUCUUCCACACUUUCCUUUGUCACCUCCUAAACCCUGAGUUAGCUCUGGCAUUGCACGUGUCAAUCUAGAAUUGUUUUAGCAAGAUUCUGAAGCUCACCUGGCAGGAUAAGAUACCAGACACUGAGGUCAUUUUUUGAACUAAACUGCAAGCAUCCCAGCUUUACUGCAGAGAGAACAACUCCACUGAGUUGGCCACAUAGCUUGGAUGCCAAAUGUAUGCUUGCAAAAAAAAUAUUUUAUGGAGAAGCCACAGAGGGCAUGACAUGGGAGACACUGGCAUAGGACUGCCCAGCAUGGCAUCUCUUCGUCAAGAGAAGGUGCUGUGCUCUAUGAGCAAAGCAGAAGUGAAUUAGCCCCAGAGAAAUGCAAGAUAUGCAAAAAUAGAGAAGUUACCCCAAAUGUUCAUAUGGACUGUCUGUGUCCAACCUGUGGCAGAGCAUUCUGAGCUCAGAUUGGUCUGAUCAGUCUCAGUUAGACACACUAUAAGUUGACACUAACAUAGUGAUGUCAUUUUGGUCCUGUUCUUUGGAGAUCUUUUCUUCCUCUGCAUGUUAAGAGUAAGAACUGCAUUUAUAGAAAGACCAUAGUCUUUCUAUAAAGUCAUCCUAAACUCUGAGAGAAAGGAGCUAUAUUUCAUCAUCUUUCUUCUUGAAUCAAUUUUGGUCUUUUCUGUCUCCUGAGUUCAGUGACUUUUUAGAAGUGUGUUCAUUUUUAUUAUCAUAAUCAUUUUAUGUGUUUUUUUUGUUCUUCAUUCUGCAUAACUUCAUAUAUCUCUUCUUAUUUUUCUCUGAAUUUUUCAUAUUUGUUGUAAUUUAUGGCAAAAUAAUAUGCUAAUCACAUUUUGUGAUUAUAUAAUUUGUGAACUAUUCCCCAUUUUUCCCUAGGAUACUUAAUAACCAUUGUUUUCUUAAUUUAUAAAUUGGUAUACAAGUAUUUUAAAAUUGAGUUAUUUUAAUUACAUCUUUUUCUUCUGAUAGAUACAUAAACUACCAGCAUUUUAAAGUGUUUCUGUUUGAUUCUGCAGUGUUUCUACUUCCUACUUGUCAUUUCCAUUAAGAGCCUUUUUUCUGUAAACAAUGCUCUCAUUAGCAUUUUGAAUCAUCACUGUCCAUAAAAAUUAAGAUAGAAUUGCUGACACUGAGAUAAAAAAAAUUAUUUCUAUACAACUCCAAAAGUUCCCACAGUUAAUAUAGUAUUAUUAGCAGUUGCUAGCUUUCAUUUCUUCUACAAUAUUUUCUCAUCCCAAUUUAUUUCAUUAAUGGAAUGCAAUAUCACAAAAUAUAGUCAGGGAAUCUUAUUCAAUGCAAUUUAGUCUCUAUUUAUUAGGUACCUACAACAGAUAAGGCACUGUUUUUGGUGCUGAGGAUCUAAAGAUAAAAACCAAAACCCAAACUCUUUUACAGUUAAAAAGUUUACAUUCUAUUGAGAUAACUAGGAACAGAAAGAGCCUUGCUAUUUAGUUUAUUCUAUAAAAAAGUGAAAUACAUAUCUCCUUUACUCCAUAAACAAACUGCUUACAUUCAAAUAUCUUGCUUCCACUGCUUUAUGCUUUUAGGUCACUAGAGGGAGAUAGAGGAAAAGUUUUCAAAGAAGCUAUAGCACAAAGAGAGGAGAAAUCCCAAUACUUGGUUAAAUCAGUUUUGUGUACAUCUCUGAAAACAACUGUAGAGGGUCAAAUGUCAAAUCAAAUGGUAUAGCAAAUUCAGAAACUUGUUUUCCAUUAGGCUCACAUUGAGAAUAAAUUUAUUACUGAUCAUUUAUCCAACCCCAUUAAUUGGCUAGUUAUCAACACUAUUUGAGGCUUUUUUUGUUAAUUAAAGGUAUAAACAGUCAAAUCUCCCUCCUUCCUCUCUGUUCUUCCCCUUAUGCAACCUAAGAAAUAUAUAGGCUAAAAGAACUUGAGAAUGUUCACCCUCCUCUAAGUUGCUUUUGUGUUCAAAUUUUAUAGUGGCCUGAAGUUGGUGUUUAAUUAUGAGUUGUUGGAAAUCAAAAUAUCAAAUUCAGGAUCUUUACAUUACAUAUAUUAAAACAUUUAGUAAUGUGGCUACUUGCCAUUUUUUUUUUUUUGAUAAAUCUUUCUUUACCCUUUCCAGUGAAUGGAUGACUGGGUGUACUUUCAAAGAAAGAAAGAUCUCACUUCAUGUCAGUCAUAAAGUUUGGCAUUUGUGAUUUCUAGUUUUCAAAGUUUCUCUCUCAGUGUUGUCAGUCCACACCAUAUUCCCUUUUUAAGAGAAAAGAACUAACUGAAAACAGUAGGGGGACUCCUUUCAUUAAAAAAUUUGUAAUUGGUAGAAGAGGCAAAGAAGCAGAUUUUAAUUUCAGAAAUGGGUUAAAAAUCUUGGAACAAUUCAAGUACUUCAUUAGUAAAAAGUUUUGAGAUCGAAAUGUCACUUUUAGGCAUUUUAGGUUCUGAAGUUCUUCCACUUCUGAUAUUCUAAAAUCCCUAAUGUUUUUCCAUAAUGUUCUGCGAUACUGAGCAAUGUUGGGGACAUCACUAGGGCAAAUCUUUUGAAUAAGGCGAAUCUGAAAUCCCAAUCUUUGCUAUUUGCGUUUCGGAUUUU
ensembl:lncRNA